rnacentral:rRNA from 1 species
GACGAACGCUGGCGGCGUGCUUAACACAUGCAAGUCGAACGGGGCUCAUCGCUUCGGUGGUGGGUCUAGUGGCGAACGGGUGAGUAACACGUGGGCAACCUGCCCCCGGCUCUGGGAUAACUCCAAGAAAUUGGGGCUAAUACCGGAUGUGACCGCUGGCCGCAUGGUCUGGUGGUGGAAAGGGUUUCCGGCUGGGGAUGGGCCCGCGGCCUAUCAGCUUGUUGGUGGGGUAGUGGCCUACCAAGGCGACGACGGGUAGCCGGCCUGAGAGGGUGACCGGCCACACUGGGACUGAGACACGGCCCAGACUCCUACGGGAGGCAGCAGUGGGGAAUAUUGCGCAAUGGGCGGAAGCCUGACGCAGCGACGCCGCGUGGGGGAUGACGGCCUUCGGGUUGUAAACCUCUUUCAGCAGGGACGAAGCCGCGAGGUGACGGUACCUGCAGAAGAAGCACCGGCCAACUACGUGCCAGCAGCCGCCGUAA